rnacentral:rRNA from 1 species
UCAGAUGUAGAACGGCCGGGCUUAACCUCGGAAUUAGCAUUUUGAAACUGGCAGGCUAGAGUCUGUAGAGGGGGUAGAAUUUCAGGUGUAGCGGUGAAAUGCGUAGAGAUCUGAAGGAAUACCAGUGGCGAAGGCGGCCCCCUCGGACAAAGACUGACGCUCAGAUGCGAAAGCGUGGGGAGCAAACAGGAUUAGAUACCCUGGUAG